AAAUUGAAGAGUUUGAUCAUGGCUCAGAUUGAACGCUGGCGGCAGGCCUAACACAUGCAAGUCGAACGGUAACAGGAAGCAGCUUGCUGCUUUGCUGACGAGUGGCGGACGGGUGAGUAAUGUCUGGGAAACUGCCUGAUGGAGGGGGAUAACUACUGGAAACGGUGGCUAAUACCGCAUAACGUCGCA
rnacentral:rRNA from 7 species